AGUGAACGCUGGCGGUAGGCCUAACACAUGCAAGUCGAACGGCAGCACAGUAAGAGCUUGCUCUUACGGGUGGGGAGUGGCGGACGGGUGAGGAAUACAUCGGAAUCUACUUUUUCGUGGGGGAUAACGUAGGGAGACUUACGCUAAUACCGCAUACGACCUACGGGUGAAAGCAGUGGAUCUUCGGACCUUGCGCGAUUGAAUGAGCCGAUGUCGGGUUAGCUAGUUGGCGGGGUACUGGCCCACCAAGGCGACGAUCCGUAGCUGGUCUGAGAGGAUGAUCAGCCACACUGGAACUGAGACACGGUCCAGACUCCUACGGGAGGCAGCAGUGGGGAAUAUUGGACAAUGGGCGCAAGCCUGAUCCAGCCAUACCGCGUGGGUGAAGAAGGCCUUCGGGUUGUAAAGCCCUUUUGUUGGGAAAGAAAAGCAGCAGGUUAAUACCCCGCUGUUCUGACGGUACCCAAAGAAUAAGCACCGGCUAACUUCGUG
rnacentral:rRNA from 1 species